ensembl:lncRNA
CACAAUGACAGCAUCUCAGCUCUUCUCAAAUCGAUCCGAGGAAGAAGCAACUUUCUGUUUCUGCGUCAACUUCAGCAAAGCAAAGAAAAGACACGCAAAGGCAAAAACCAGACGUCCACAGUGGGGUCGGCAGUCUGACAAUCAGCACUUUCAGCUCUAAAAGCCAUCCGGUGUUCAUGGAUGCUCGAAACCACACGCAGGACAAUCCACCCACGACGCUGUCAAAGCAAAGCAAGCCCCAAAACAAGAAUCUGCAAAAGGUGGAUGUUUUUACGUUAAUCGUAUUUUCACUGUAACCAGGUUUUGCUCAGGGCCUGGUGUGUCCCUCUGAUGGUUUUAACCAUUUACAAACCUUUAUAAACUUUAAACACCAAGUCUUUUAUUUGAAACCAACCCGGGACACACAAACGUGAUGAAUUUAACAGUAAAUUUAAAAAAGAAAGUUUCACUCCCUUUAUCUUAUUUGAAUUUAUUCAAGGUGUGAGUUUGAUGAUGCUAAAUAAUAAAAAUAAAAAGCCUCUGAUCA